rnacentral:rRNA from 1 species
AUCGCAGAUCAGCAAAGCUGCGGUGAAUACGUUCCCGGGCCUUGUACNCACCGCCCGUCACACCACGGGAGUCGGUCGCGCCUGAAGCCGGUGGCCUAUCAGUAAUGGGGAGCCGUCUAUGGCGAGAUUGGUAACUGGGGUGAAGUCGUAACAAGGUACC